UACGGGGGGUGCGAGCGUUGUCCGGAAUCACUGGGCGUAAAGGGCGCGUAGGUGGUUUGAUAAGGGUGUGGUGAAAGCCCGGGGCUCAACCCCGGAUCUGCCGUGCCGACUGUCAAACUCGAGGACUGUAGAGGCAGACGGAAUUCCGGGUGUAGCGGUGGAAUGCGUAGAGAUCCGGAGGAAGACCGGUGGCGAAGGCGGUCUGCUGGGCAGUUUCUGACACUGAGGCGCGACAGCGUGGGGAGCAAACAGG
rnacentral:rRNA from 1 species